UCCUUCUCCCCGCUGCCGACUCUCCUUCUGCCCGACUUUCCCUCUCCCUUCCUCGUUUACUAUUUUUCAUGUUUUGUUGAUGUUGCUCCAUAUGUCCGGUUGUAGGUCAAAGUAAAGAAAAGGGGAGAUGAUACCAAGUUUUAGCCAGAGGAGUUGAUUGUUAUAUAGCUUUACUUUAAGUUGAAAAUGAGGAGUUUUGGAAAAGAGCUGAACCACUAAAGUUUUGGAAUUUGCCUUGCCUUCAGGUUUGCACUUGGCUCUUUCAUUGAGUGAUUGAUUCCAGUUUAUGGCAUCUUUGACUUUCUGGCAAGCCCUGAGCUCCCAAGUCCUAUUUUUUUCCUCUUUCAAAUGCUUUGUUUUGAUAACUAUACCUCUCUCUUAUUCAUUCAAUACGAAUUUAGGAUACUCCUAACUAUCUGAUAACUUUGGAUUACAUAUGCUUCUUUUAGAUUUGCUAUGAAAUCGGCAAGGCUCUGCACACGUCUUCUUUUGAGAUGUUGGUUUAAAAUUUAGGAUACUCCUAACUAUUUGAAGUUUGGUAUUAAUAUGACUCUGAAUCUUCUUGCUUUUGUGUUUGGUAUUAAUAUGACUCUGAAUCUUCUUGCUUUUGUGUUGAAGUUUCCUUGAUAUCGAUGUAGCUUGUUCCCCAGAUGUCUAGUAUGGGAAAUGAUGUCAGACAUUGUGAUUGAGAGUAAUGGCACCUUUAGAAAGCCAUCCUGUAGCAUGUGUCUGACAUAAAAUUGCUCUGCCACCAUUUUACAGAUUCAUGGUGGAGUUCAGGUGCAUAAAUAGUUGAGUUAGUAUUAAUAGUUGAGUCAUCUUGUACCGCAGAGCUUCAACAGAUACUGCAAAAUAAAUGGUAUACUUUUAGCAUUGAUUUUGAAGUGUGGGAAGGAGCUAAGUUGCUGUCCAAUAGGUUUAAGGCUGAUCUUGGCAAGGUUUUGGUAAGUUUUGAGGUUGGAUUACUUUGUUUAGUUUUGAAGUGGCAUUCGAAUCAAGCCACACUUUGGGUAAUCUAUUUGGAGGUAAUUGGUUAUUUUAGUGAAUGAAAUUUUGAAGAAAUUUUUUAUUGCUUGUAGAUAAGAUUGGGCUUCCAAUAUUGUCUAUUUUUUUAUUGCUUGUAGAUAAGAUAAAUUGUAAAAGUUGUGAAAGUUGGAGGAAAGGUAUCUGCAUUCUUCUAUUUUAAAUUUUAGCAUAUGCUUAAUUUGUUGAUAAUCUUCUUCCUCUUUAUUAUAUUUUCUCAAAUCUCUCCCAUCUUCCUUUGUUUUGCAGUGAAAGGUAAUUGUUCCUUCUGAGGUUGGAUAUGGCCAAAAGAGAAUGAAUGAAAUCCCAUAAGUCCCUAACUUUAACUUGUAGAUAUUUUUUAAGUUUCGAGUAUGAUAUUUUUCCAUUGCAUAAAGUAAGCCAAUCAUGUAUAUUUUUCCUUGUGCGAGACUUUUUGUCAUUGUUGUAUCUUAACACUUAUUUCUAUAUUUUGAAAUUUGAUGUUAUCGCCCUUUAUUCUAUUUUGUAGGUUGGCUAGCUUAAACAAUGCCUGAUCCUUCUCGAUCUUUCGACUUCAAAGCUCAAUGUAUGGAUUAAAUAAUGUACUUUGUUGAGAUGUUACUUAUUAAAUAAUUUAUCACUUUUGUGUUUAUUAAAAGUUCAGUUUUGUAUACAAAAACAAUAGUUGAGAUUUUAUUUUUGCAUGUACAUGUGAAAGAGAAAUAUUGUUGUAAUUUGUGAGUGUUCAUAUGAAAGAGGUCAUAGUUGAACAUAUGAAAUUUUUAGUGAAUAUAUUGAAUUGAUA